GCCCUUUUGUUGGGAAAGAAAUCCAGCUGGCUAAUACCCGGUUGGGAUGACGGUACCCAAAGAAUAAGCACCGGCUAACUUCGUGCCAGCAGCCGCGGUAAUACGAAGGGUGCAAGCGUUACUCGGAAUUACUGGGCGUAAAGCGUGCGUAGGUGGUCGUUUAAGUCCGUUGUGAAAGCCCUGGGCUCAACCUGGGAACUGCAGUGGAUACUGGGCGACUAGAGUGUGGUAGAGGGUAGCGGAAUUCCUGGUGUAGCAGUGAAAUGCGUAGAGAUCANGAGGAACAUCCAUGGCGAAGGCAGCUACCUGGACCAACACUGACACUGAGGCACGAAAGCGUGGGGAGCAAACAGGAUUAGAUACCCUGGUAGUCCACGCCCUAAACGAUGCGAACUGGAUGUUGGGUGCAAUUUGGCACGCAGUAUCGAAGCUAACGCGUUAAGUUCGCCGCCUGGGGAGUACGGUCGC
rnacentral:rRNA from 1 species